GCCUGAGUGGCUCAGUCGGUUAAGCAUCUGACCUCCAUUCAGGUCAUGAUCUCAAGGUUCGUGGGUUCGAGCCCCACAUGGGGCU
rnacentral:tRNA from 1 species